rnacentral:lncRNA from 1 species
GAGCUGCGGCAGGAGAUCGUCCGAGAUUUGAGGGACGAGCUGCUCCGGGAGCUCCGAGGUUCCGUGCCAGCUGCCACUCCUGCACCCACUCCUGCACCCACUCCAUCCUCCGCAUUGGUGCCAUCCUUGACAGCCGUGACAGACAUGACGGCUAAAGUGCGGGAAGAGAUAUAUAAUAUCAGGGAUUUGAUGCAGGCCCAGUUCCGCAACAUGAGGGAGAUCAAGAGCACCACUCGACAGUUUCGAGAGGAGAUAGGGCGCUUGUCGAAUGUGAUUGUCGGCAAGCUGGAGCACUUCAGACCUCAGUGACUGGGCUUCAGACGUCGGUGACUGAGCUCUCCACUAUGCACAGCAGAGCCACCUCGUCUAUCAUCACACAGCUUAGCCAUGUCACAGAGGCAGUCGCCCUCCUCAUGGAGCGGAGCAGAUUGGGAGGAGGAGCCACAUCCUCCAGAGGAGGAGACGCAUCCUCGAGAGGAGGAGCUACAUCCUCGAGAGGAGGAGCUACAUCCUCGAGAGGGGGAGCUACAUCCUCGAGGAGGACAUAGAUGAUUUGAGUUGUGUUUAUCUUCUUUUGUAUUGUUUUGCCUUACUUAUAGUAUGCUCAAAUGUAUUCACCUUCAUAUCAAUACAAUGAGUAGACAUCUUAUCUUUAUUUCUGUGCCAAUUGACUGUGCCAUUUGAUGUUUGAUUGUGCCAUUUGUGCCAUUGAUUGUGUGUGAUUACCUCCUUUUUGAUAUGAUGACAAAAAGGGGGAGAAAUAUGUAUAAAAUAUGUAAAAGGGGAGAAACAUGGAUAAAAUAUGUAAAAGAAAUCAAUAAAAAGAUAAACUCUUAAAAACACACACAAAUUUGUUCUAAGUGGAUUCGGUACCUCGAGGCUCAUUAUCUCUCUUUUGGGGCUCCUAAUGGAGUAAUCUCCAGAAUCUAUUCAAGGGAUAUUCGGAGAUUAGCUG